AUGGCUUUGAACUGGUUGAUCACCGUUCCUAUUCUCUUGAUUUGGUCCCACCUGACUAUCAUCUGUUCCCCAACAUGAAAAGACACUUGGCUGGGAAUCAGUAUUGCAGUGAUGGUGACAUAUUGCAGUUGCUACUAGUUCCUUUUGAAGUCUUCUUUGAACAGUCAGAUGUCAGUUUACCUGGAAAGUAACAAAGUUAUUAAUAAGAAGAGGUGAAAUUAAUGCAAGCAAGAUUUAACAGCUCUAGCAUCACUCCUUCAUUGUCAACCUAUAAACUUUUCAGCCCA